CCUUGCCUGCACUUUUUUUACUCAUCCCCUCACUGCAGCCGCCUACUCUCACCUACAUUUCAGGCGAGGCGCAUCUCAAACAAUCCUGUUUCCUUCGAUUCCUCCGUGACCGUCCUCGUUUUCUUUUCUUGCAUCCUACGGGGGGUGGAGCUGAGACGCGAGGAAAGGAAGCUAGAAUAAGAAAUGAGAAGCACCCUUUGACGAACUCUCAGGAGCAGCUGUUGGCAGUUUCAUUUUUCUUAAGUCAUUCCGUCUGCAGCAUAAUAUAUAGCGGUAGUACAACUGUGCUACGAUCUUCUAAAUCAUGAGGCGCGGUCUGUUCACCAUAAUUGGGGUGGCAACUGGGGCAGUUGGUGCAGUUGCAUUGGCUCCGGUGGCGCUCACCAUGGCUGGAUUCACCUCCGCUGGUAUAGCAGCCAGAGAACCUGCUGCUAUACCAGCGGAGGUGA